rnacentral:rRNA from 1 species
UACGGGGGGGGUAAGCGUUGUUCGGAAUUACUGGGCGUAAAGGGCUCGUAGGCGGCCAACUAAGUCGGACGUGAAAUCCCUCAGCUUAACUGGGGAACUGCGUCCGAUACUGGAUGGCUUGGAUUUGGGAGAGGGAUGCGGAAUUCCAGGUGUAGCGGUGAAAUGCGUAGAUAUCUGGAGGAACACCGGUGGCGAAGGCGGCAUCCUAGACCAACAUUGACGCUGAGGAGCGAAAGCUAGGGGAGCAAACGGG